UAUGUGAUCGUCUCUCGCAUAUCAAUAAGCGGAGGAAAAGAAACUAACAAGGAUUCCCCUAGUAACGGCGAGUGAAGCGGGAAGAGCUCAAAUUUGAAAUCUUAAAGGGUUUCCCUUUACGAAUUGUAGUUUAAAGAAGUGUUUUCUGUUGAGGUUUUGGUAAAAGUUCUUUGGAAUAGGACAUCAUAGAGGGUGAGAAUCCCGUAUUUGACCUUUACUUUCAACUUUGUGAUACACUUUCAAAGAGUCGGAUUGUUUGGGAAUGCAGUCCAAAAUGGGUGGUAAAUUUCAUCUAAAGCUAAAUAUUGGCGAGAGACCGAUAGCGAACAAGUACCGUGAGGGAAAGAUGAAAAGAACUUUGAGAAGAGAGUUAAACAGUACGUGAAAUUGUCAAAAGGGAAGCGUUUGACACCAGUGUUGUUUUUCUGAAAAUCAAUUAAAGAACUGUUUAUGCUAAGUUGUUUAGACUUUAUCAGCUAACUGUUUAGUUUUGAGCUUUUCUUUAAUGCACUUUUCAGUUAACAAGUCAACAUCAAUUUCUUUUGCUGUAAAAAAGCUUGAGGAAGGUGGCUUGAGAUUCGUCUUAAGUGUUUAUAGCCUCUUGCCUAUGCAGUCGGAGAGAUUGAGGUCUGCAGCGUAGAUCCUUCGGGGCUAAAUGCAUUUGUGCUAAGUUAUAGCAUUUUAUAGACAACUUGUUGACUAUGAUUUGUCUUGUAGCUUACUCGCUUAUGCUAUUUUACCUACGCUUAGGAUGUUGAAGUCAUCGUAUCGCGC
rnacentral:rRNA from 1 species